rnacentral:rRNA from 1 species
GCACAAGCAGCGGAGCGUGUGGUUUAAUUCGAUGCUACACGAAGAACCUUACCAGGGUUUGACAUGCAAGUGGUAGGAAACCGAAAGGCGACCGACCCUUCGGGGAGCUUGCACAGGUGCUGCAUGGCUGUCGUCAGCUCGUGUCGUGAGAUGUUCGGUUAAGUCCGCUAACGAGCGCAACCCUCGUCGUAUGUUACAAGUGUCAUACGAGACUGCCGGUAAAAGCCGGAGGAAGGUGAGGAUGAUGUCAAGUCAGCAUGACCUUUAUAUCCAGGGCUACACACACGCUACAAUGGUCUGUACAAUGGGUAGCCAAGCCGCGAGGCGGAGCCAAUCCUGAAAGCAGGCCUCAGUUCAGAUUGCAGUCUGCAACUCGACUGCAUGAAGCCGGAGUUGCUAGUAACCGCAGGUCAGCAAUACUGCGGUGAAUACGUUCCCGGGUCUU